rnacentral:rRNA from 1 species
GAUGAACGCUGGCUACAGGCUUAACACAUGCAAGUCGAGGGGAAACGGCAUUGAGUGCUUGCACUGAAUGGACGCCGACCGGCGCACGGGUGAGUAACGCGUAUCCAACCUUCCCGUUACUGCGGGAUAACCUGCCGAAAGGCAGACUAAUACCGCAUGUUCUUCGAUGACGGCAUCAGAUUCGAAGCAAAGAUCCGUCGGUAACGGAGGGGGAUGCGUCUGAUUAGCUAGUUGGCGGGGCGACGGCCCACCAAGGCGACGAUCAGUAGGGGUUCUGAGAGGAAGGUCCCCCACAUUGGAACUGAGACACGGUCCAAACUCCUACGGGAGGCAGCAGUGAGGAAUAUUGGUCAAUGGGCGGAAGCCUGAACCAGCCAAGUAGCGUGCAGGAUGACGGCCCUACGGGUUGUAAACUGCUUUUAUGCGGGGAUAAAGUGAGGGACGCGUCCCUUUUUGCAGGUACCGCAUGAAUAAGGACCGGCUAAUUCCGUG